rnacentral:lncRNA from 1 species
AUAAUUCAAAUAUCAUUGAUUGUUUGAGCAAAAAUAAUUUUGAUAUAAAAGAUGAUAUUCUAACCAAUGAUUCAUGCAGCAUCCAGCAGAUUGAGGUUGUGCAGACAGAAGACAUUCGGCCGCCGAACAUGGACAACUUUCGGCCGCCGAACCCUACUGCCCUUCAAACACCAGAUUCUGUUGCACCACCUCAGGAACACAUUGCGCAAGACGUCCUUCGGCCGCCGAACCCAAGCGAUCUUCAGACGCCGAAUCCAUCACCGCAGUCCACUCCGCAAACUGAAGACCUU